rnacentral:tRNA from 1 species
UUAGCUCAGUUGGUAGAGCAGCGGACUUUUAAUCCGUUGGUCGUAGGUUCGAAUCCUACACGACCUACCA